rnacentral:rRNA from 1 species
UACGAAGGGGGCUAGCGUUGCUCGGAAUCACUUGGGCGUAAAGGGUGCGUAGGCGGGUUUUUAAGUCAGAGGUGAAAUCCUGGAGCUCAACUCCAGAACUGCCUUUGAUACUGAGAAUCUUGAGUACGGGAGAGGUGAGUGGAACUGCGAGUGUAGAGGUGAAAUUCGUAGAUAUUCGCAAGAACACCAGUGGCGAAGGCGGCUCACUGGCCCGUAACUGACGCUGAGGCACGAAAGCGUGGGGAGCAACAGGG